UGAUAGGAGACUCGGUACUCCCUGUGUGG
rnacentral:piRNA from 1 species